rnacentral:rRNA from 1 species
UGGGGAAUAUUGCACAAUGGGCGCAAGCCUGAUGCAGCCAUGCCGCGUGUAUGAAGAAGGCCUUCGGGUUGUAAAGUACUUUCAGUCGGGAGGAAGGUGGUAAGGUUAAUAACCUUAUCAAUUGACGUUACCGACAGAAGAAGCACCGGCUAACUCCGUGCCAGCAGCCGCGGUAAUACGGAGGGUGCAAGCGUUAAUCGGAAUUACUGGGCGUAAAGCGCACGCAGGCGGUUGAUUGAGUCAGAUGUGAAAUCCCCGGGCUUAACCCGGGAAGUGCAUCUGAUACUGGUCAGCUAGAGUCUUGUAGCGGGAGGUGGAAUUCCAUGUGUAGCGGUGAAAUGCGUAGAGAUGUGGAAGAAUACCGGUGGCGAAGGCGGCCCCCUGGACAAAGACUGACACUCAGGUGCGAAAGCGUGGGGAGCGAACAGG